GAUCUCACUGCUCCGGGAAUUUCCCUGCUCUCUCCAGGAUUUCUAGAGAACCUUGGCCCCAGAAUGAGUUUAGGGACUAAUUAAAUCCAGAGAAGCAUCCUGCUGCUGAAGAAAGGUGGAUUAGUAGGACAAAGCAAUCCCUGGCCUAAACAAUAUCAGGAGGCUAUGCUAAGAGCAGGCCCUUCCCGGAGACUGGAAUGCAGGAGAGAGGAGCGUGUGAGAUGGGAGGGGAUGAGAAGCAGGUCGUCCAUCUGCACAUCCAAAGUUCUGUUUGGGAUCUUCAUAUAUUACAGUUUUGCUGAUACCUUCUUUUGCACCAGCUGGGGCAACUUCUAAAUCUGGAACAACAUUGCUGAGAGAAAAAAGACCUUCCUUCCUGUAAGCUGCUGAGUAUACUGCCUCCAAAUACAGCAAACAGGCCUAGCUUCACCUCUACACAUGAAUGGUGUUGGGUAUGAUGAGAGUGAUGAGAGGGCUAUUCAUUGGGCCACAGGGAAACACACGACAGCUUCCAAUCAAAACAAAAUAGGGAAAAUGUUAUGUAAAAUCGACUCUGUAUUCCUUUUUUUUUUUUUCUUAUUCCACUCUGUUGAUCUCUUUUGACUGCUGGAUGUUGUGACUUGUUUACAGGGGAUGUUUCUCCUGGCCUUGACCUAUAGGUUAAUAUGUCAGUGGCCUCAGGGUAGACCCUUUAGUUCCUUCUUUUCUACCUGAUUAAAUAUUAUUCUCGGGUCUCUUAGAAGAUGAGCCUUAAAGAGGCCACAAGACAGGAGAAAAAGGAGAGACUCUAGGUGUGCAAAAAGCUAAAGCCGGGUCACCUUGAAAUGAAAGGGAGUUUUGCCAUUCACUGCACUGGGGCCAUUAGCACAGCAUGUUUUUUUCAGUGAACUAUCCAGAAAUUAAACUUCCAGUAUCAAGGGCACUGUCUGUGAAUCUGGCUGAAAACACAUAUUCUCUCUGCGAGCAGUUCAUGCUAUCUUGGGCUUUCAUUCUGUUUGCAGUUGCACAUGCUCAUGUAUGGCUAACAGUUCUGGUCCAGUUUUAUGUUUUCCCUGUGGGUUUCUGCCGGAGAUGGGACAUCGGUGAUCAAGCCUUUCAGAAGAGACUAGCAAUUUUUGGAUGCCUUAGUUAUUAGGGACCCAACUUAAUGGAACCUGAUUUUUCAGAACAUGCUGGGCACCUACCCUUUGAAACCAGAACCGUUUAAGGUGUCUCAAGUUGGAUACCUCGAAAUGGAAGAAACCUAAAUCACUCAUCACUUCUGAAAACCUUGGCCCUCGUUCCUACUUCAGUCUAUAGAAGCAGAGAAUGAAAAAACCUUCUGUUGUAAGUUACAAGAACAAUCCAUGAAUGGCUUUAACAUCCUCUGCCCUCCUCUUUCAUAGCUACUGUGUAUCUCUGUUUUACUAAGUUAUUUAAACUGAGACUAAAUUUCUUCCCAGGCUCCUGGCCCCUCAUGGCAUGUUUUCUCUGUUGGAGAUUCAGUCCUUGUACAUCAUGUAGUAAAUAUAAAAAAGUAGGUUUACAGACCAAUGAAUAGAGAAAUCUCUUUCCAGGUCAAUGCAAGAAAUUAUAGAGCCUUGGAAAGCCCUAGUUUUAUCUCCUGCCAAAGGAGGGAUUAAGCCACAAUGAUUCCCAGGCCUAAGGGUUUUUUUGUUUUUUUUUUUGCUUCUGCCUUCUUUGAGUGCAAACUGACAGAGACGAGUUUUCACUCCAAACAGCUGUCUGUUAUUUGAAUGGAGUCAGUUCCUAAUCCCACACAUGACUAUCAUCAGAGUCUGCUGUAGUGGAAAUGUUUCUAGUAUCAAAACAAAGCCUUUGGCACAGAGACCUGUUUGAGCGGGCUCUACGCAUAACCCCUGAUUUCAAACACUAUCUUUUCUCAAAAGGCAGCACUCCGUUGGCUACCAAGCUAGUCAUUACCCAGUUAACUAAGAAAAGAUGCACUGAGAUUUGCAUAAUUAUAAAGAAGCAAAAUAAA